rnacentral:rRNA from 1 species
GAUGAACGCUGGCGGCGUGCCUAAUACAUGCAAGUCGAGCGAACAGACGAGGAGCUUGCUCCUCUGACGUUAGCGGCGGACGGGUGAGUAACACGUGGAUAACCUACCUAUCAGACUGGGAUAACUUCGGGAAACCGGAGCUAAUACCGGAUAAUAUAUUGAACCGCAUGGUUCAAUAGUGAAAGACGGUUUUGCUGUCACUUAUAGAUGGAUCCGCGCCGCAUUAGCUAGUUGGUAAGGUAACGGCUUACCAAGGCAACGAUGCGUAGCCGACCUGAGAGGGUGAUCGGCCACACUGGAACUGAGACACGGUCCAGACUCCUAAGGGAGGCAGCAGUAGGGAAUCUUCCGCAAUGGGCGAAAGCCUGACGGAGCAACGCCGCGUGAGUGAUGAAGGUCUUCGGAUCGUAAAACUCUGUUAUUAGGGAAGAACAAAUGUGUAAGUAACUAUGCACGUCUUGACGGUACCUAAUCAGAAAGCCACGGCUAACUACGUG